rnacentral:rRNA from 1 species
CACGUAGGCAGCAAGCGUUGUUCGGAGUUACUGGGCGUAAAGGGUGUGUAGGCGGUUCUUUAAGUUUGGUGUGAAAUCUCCCGGCUCAACUGGGAGGGUGCGCCGAAUACUGAGGGACUAGAGUACGGGAGAGGAAAGUGGAAUUCCUGGUGUAGCGGUGAAAUGCGUAGAUAUCAGGAGGAACACCGGUGGUGUAGACGGCUUUCUGGACCGUAACUGACGCUGAGACACGAAAGCGUGGGUAGCAAACAGG